AUGCAGUCCGAGAAGACCUUCAAGCAGCGCGGGAGCUUUGAACAGAGAGUGGAAGAUGCCCGGCUCAUCCGGGAGCAGUACCCCACCAAGAUCCCGGUGAUUAUAGAGCGAUACAAGGGGGAGAAGCAGCUGCCCGUCCUGGACAAGACCAAGUUCCUGGUACCUGAUUACGUGAACGUGAGCGAGCUCAUCAAGAUAAUUAGACAGCGCUUGCAGCUCAAUGCUAACCAAGCCUUCUUCCUCCUGGUGAAUGGGCACAGCAUGGUGUGUCCACACCCAUCUCUGAAGUACGAGAGCGAGAGAGAUGAAGACAGCUUCCUGUACUUGGUUUAUGCCUCGCAGGAGACAUUCGGGACAGCAAUGGCUGUGUAA
rnacentral:lncRNA from 1 species